rnacentral:rRNA from 1 species
CCCCUACGGGAGGCAGCAGUGAGGAAUAUUGGUCAAUGGGCGAGAGCCUGAACCAGCCAAGUAGCGUGCAGGAUGACGGCCCUAUGGGUUGUAAACUGCUUUUAUGUGGGGAUAAAGUGAGCUACGUGUAGUUUAUUGCAGGUACCACAUGAAUAAGGACCGGCUAAUUCCGUGCCAGCAGCCGCGGUAAUGGGG